UUUGUUUUGAUAUAAAUUUGAGAUUCAAUUAUCUAAGAAACAUCUUCUUCUUCAACAAUGGCGGCUUGAUUUGAUUUUUGCUCUCUCUCAUGUGUCAAACUCGUUUCAUCUAUGUAGCAUCGAGAUUCCGGUUAAUCGAAUUUCCUGUUAUUAUGGACAUGAUAUACAAAAUGGAUAUAGAACAGUAAAAAGGUUUCCGAAUGGAUAUAUUUAAAUGGACUCGUUAUUAUGGACACCAAACCAUUGUUUGUUGAUUUUUCUUUCGGUUUGCAGAGACCUCUACCUUCAAAACCUUAUGGACAUGGAACUUUGGUUUCUUUACAAAACACGGUUAAUCGAAUCUCCUGUUAUUAUUGACAUGGUAUAUAGAAUGAAUAUAGAUAAGUAGAAAGGUUUUUGAAUGGAUAUAUUUAAAUGGAUUCGUUAUUAUGGACACCAAAACAUUGUUUGUUGAUUUUUCUUUCAGUUUGAAGAGACCUCCACUUCCAAGACCUUAUGGACAUGGAACUUUGGUUUCUUUACAAACCACGGUUAAUCGAAUCUCCUGUUAUAUGGACAUGGUAUAUAGAAUGAAUAUGAAUCAGUAAAAGGUUUUCUGAAUGGAUAUAUUUAAAUGGACUCGUUAUUAUGGACACCAAAAAAUUGUUUGUUGAUUUUUCUUACAAUUUGCAGAGACCCCACCUCCAAUACCUUAUGGACAUAGAACUUUUACCAAAUUCCUGAGAUAAUCGAGAUCAAAUUGUUUAAGAAACUUCUCCAAAAGUUAUGGAGACGUGGAGAGAGAGAGAGAGAGGCGCUACAAAUCAUGGAGAGAGAGAGAGAGAGAUUUUAUUUAUUUUGGGUAAGGAUCGUGGAAGAGGAAUAACAAAAAAGAGAAAUUAAGAAUUAAAAACAUAAAUAUUGAAUUGAGGGUAAAAAAGUCUUUAAAAAAAAAGAAUUAAUAGAAAAAGUGUCUAUUUCCUAUAAACUGCCUCAAACGGAAAAACAUUCUCUAAAAGUGCUUAAUAGUGGAACAUUAAUCGCAUGACAAUAUAAUAAGACGUAAAAUUUUUGGUCUUAUCAUAUGCAAAUACUUAUUAAUAAGGAA
rnacentral:sRNA from 1 species